GAUGAAGAACGUAGUGAAAUGCGAUAAGUAAUGCGAAUUGCAGAAUCCGUGAGUCAUCGAAUCUUUGAACGCAUAUUGCGCCCUUUGGCAUUCCGAAGGGCAUGCCUGUUCGAGCGUCAUUAUCACCCCUCAAGCCCCGGCUUGGUGUUGGGCCCCCGGUGGUCGUACCCGACCACCCGCCUCAAAGAUAGUGACGGCGUCCCAGAGGGAACCGGUACGAGGAGCUUUCACGAGCAUGUACGCGGGACGACUCUGUGGGCGACGGUCUUUUUUAACCUUAAUAUAUCAAGUGUUGACCUCGGAUCAGGUAGGAAUACCCGCUGAACUUAAGCAUAUCAAUAGCGGAGGA
rnacentral:misc_RNA from 1 species